ensembl:lncRNA
CUUGGUUUCUUUGCUGCUUUUAGGUCAGCAUGCUCCAUCCAAUGCUUAGGACACCACUGAGCUCCUGGAAAAAUAACCAUUUUGAACUGCACCAAAAUAUGAGUUUGGGGUGCUUGCUUUUUUUUUUUUGCAUGGUGAGGAGGGAUGAAGGAAAGAGAAGAGAGUGAUUAAACCCAUUGCUCUGGGAGCUUUAUCCUCCUGGGCCAACAACAUUUUUCAGAAGCAGUGAGAAAGUGGAGUGUAAUGCUAAAAUUUGCUUUGUCAGUGGCCAGCAGUCACUGUGGCAGGCAACAACUGACGCUGUGUUGUGCAGGAUAGAGGUCUAACCAUGUUUAACCGUGGAAGAAGUGGAGGAUAAAAGGAAAGUAAACCUCCAGAAACCUUGAAAUGUGUGUGAGAGGAAGCCCAGUAAUUCAACCAGAGUAGUUAGUGCCAGAAAUGGUGUCAAAGCAAUCAGCUAGAAUUAGGGGAGGCAGAAAUGUUCAGUAAUGUGAGAUAUGACUUGAUUGUAGCUUCCAGCUAUCCUCCAGCUCAUGGCAUUCCUUCCUGCUGUCACAGCAUCCUUGUUUCCAGGUAAGGAUACUGAGCAGAGUUCCCUUUACUGAUAGGAAGCAAACAACAGAGGUGCUUGGCUUUUUCAAAUUAACUUUAUGGAUAAGCUGUGCUGCGUUUGUGUUCUUGGUGUUCUUGGUUCUUUCUUUUUUUUUUUUUUUUUUUUUUUUUUUUUGACAGUCAAAACUCAAGAAGAAAAAAAUAAAGGAAGGGAGUUCAGAGAGAAAACCACAAUAGAAGGAAAAGCAAAUAGCACGAGACACCUUCUUGUCACAGCAAAGACAUUGGAUGCAUUUUCUUUUCAAAGCAUAAAAAUAAAAGAGGAAAGAAACGUGUAGAACUGAAUUAUAAUCAAACAGCAUCCUCUUUAACUAGCAUGUUAGGUCAUAAUACAGAUAUUAUUUUAAGUAAUUAAAAUUCCUGCCAUUUCCAAUGUCAGCUUCAAUUAAACUCAGAGGAACACAGAAAGUACAACUUUGUUAUGCUAUAGCAUAGACAUUUGCAUUACAAAUUUUGCUUUAUAGUCA